AGGUCGGCCUCGCUGUUAGGGCCCGGUUGGGGCAGUACUGAGCUUGGAGAGCUCCUCGGGGCGUGUCUGUGCCUCUCAGCCCACGUCGGGGCCCCGCGUAGCGCGGACGCCUCUUCCCAAACGUCGCGGAAUGUUCUGGAAGCGGCCGGAAGAAAGCGCUGCGGCGGCACCGCCGCGGACGGCUGCGCGACCAGCCCGACUAACUCGACUCGUUAAGACAAUGUAUUGAGUCCAAGAUGAAUGUGACUGUUCAGCUGCAGCUGCUGUCCAGGCCUAGAGAGCAAAUCCUGCCUUCCAAGAUCUUGGAGCCAUCCAGCCAGCAUAAUGCAAAAGCCCUGCUUGCUAGAACAGCAUAUACAGGAGCAGACCCUGCAUUCUUCCUGCACUUCUGAUAAAGGGAACAUGGGAAAAGUUAUCUUCUCUUGGAGAGUGCCUUGAUGUCUAGCACCUGGAGCUUUUUCACUUGAGGUGUAAUAUAACCUGGUCCAUACCUGGAACUAUGAAGAAUUUGCCAGGAGAAAGAGACGAGAAAUGUAGGUUCCUUAUUGAAUAGGGUAAAAUUGGAAUUCAAGUUGUUACUGGAGUAGAAGAAAAGUGUGACCAUCAAUGACAUUGCCUUGAGAAGCUUGCCAGAUCGCUCCAUCGCAUGCCUAGCAACUUCGAGUUUCUUAAGCACUGGAUGCAGCAGAAGGAACAACUACCUGGGGAGCCUAGGACCGCUUUGCUGUGGGAUCUAGCUGUAGCUCAAGCUUCUGAAGGUGUGUUUCAAUUGGUCCCAUCAGGGGGUAGUAAAGAGAUGAGAGGAGACAGAUG